GUGCAACAGUUUGAUGAUUUAAAUACAAAAGCAGAGAUUUUAUCAGAGGUGGAGGGAAAUAGUGGAAGAGGGAAAUAGUGGAAGACGGAAACCUUACAAGUGAUCAGAAAUAUUUAACUGCUCACCAAAGCAGUAAAGCUGCGACUGAACAAAAAAACUCCGGAAAAACCUGAUUCAGGAAAAGAAGAAGAAGAAACCUUACAGAUGUCGACGUGAAGGACAGAUCCUCUCUCAGGACAGACAGAGUUCCGCUGGAUAAGACUGGGGGACACGCUGAAGUCCACAGCCAAGACGAGCCAGAGGCACGGUCCACGAACAAGAACAGGGUGAUCCACCUGUAAUCUGGAAUCUGAAAAUUUGACGGUUUCUCUCUCUGAUGUCAUCAUCUUUUUCUUUUUUUUAGGAAGGGGGGGGGGGGGUAUUCCCUGUACCCAAAGUUCAUUUCCAUCAUUUUUUGAGGAUGUGGCGGGGUUACAUUUUUACUCAAACUCACAAAACAAACCAAAGGAAUGGAGAAGGAAGAAGAACUGAGAGAAAAAUCUGGUCCUGGACGGCAGAAUUUAAGACCACUGGGAUCGCAAAAGAUAACCAGAGCGGAGUUUUAAAAUGUAAGUACUUGUAAAUAAAUGUACUGUCUGUAAUCCCCUGUCAGUCAGUGGCUCUAACUGCAGAAGAAUCUGUCCAUAAAAGAGCCACACAGCAUCCUGAACAGGAAGUCAGCCGUCGGCGUGUUCACUAAUGAUCUCUCCUGCAAAAGCAGCUUCACCUCUGAGU